rnacentral:rRNA from 1 species
AAUGGGGGAAACCCUGAUGCAGCGAUGCCGCGUGAGUGAAGAAGGCCCUUGGGUUGUAAAACUCUUUCGUCGGGGAAGAAAAUGACUGUACCCGAAUAAGAAGGUCCGGCUAACUUCGUGCCAGCAGCCGCGGUAAUACGAAGGGACCUAGCGUAGUUCGGAAUUACUGGGCUUAAAGAGCUCGUAGGUGGUUAAAAAAGUUGAUGGUGAAAUCCCAAGGCUCAACCUUGGAACUGCCAUCAAAACUUUUUAGCUAGAGUGUGAUAGAGGUAAGUGGAAUUUCUAGUGUAGAGGUGAAAUUCGUAGAUAUUAGAAAGAACACCAAAUGCGAAGGCAACUUACUGGGUCACAACUGACACUGAGGAGCGAAAGCAUGGGUAGCGAAGAGGAUU